GCUGUGGCUCAGUAGUAGAGUGCUUGCCUAGCAUGUGUGAGGCACUGGGUUCAAUUCUCAGAACAACA
rnacentral:tRNA from 1 species